UUCGUGUGAACAGUGGUUGAUCACGAGUUAGUCGGUCCUAAGUUCAAGGCGAAAGCCGAAAAUUUUCAAGUUUAACAAAAUGUGACUAUAUUAUACUAAUGUAUAUUUAUAUUUGUGCAAAUACUAUACACUUGAAUAAUUUUGAACGAAAGGGAAUACGGUUCCAAUUCCGUAACCUGUUGAGUAUCCGUUUGUUAUUAAAUAUGGGCCUCGUGCUCAUCCUGGCAACAGGAACGACCAUAAAGAAGCCGUCGAGAGAUAUCGGAAGAGUUUUCUUUUCUGUUUUAUAGCCGUACUACCAUGGAAGUCUUUCGCAGAGAGAUAUGGUAGAUGGGCUAGAAGAGCAUGACAUAUACUGUUGUGUCGAUAUUUUCUCUUCGGACCUUGAAAAUUUAUGGUGGGGAUACGCAAACUUCUCAACAGGCCGUACCAAUAUCCGCAGCUGGUCUCCAAGGUGAAGAGUCUCUAGUCGAUAGAAUA
rnacentral:rRNA from 1 species